CACGGGGUUGCGAGCGUUGUCCGGAAUUACUAGGCGUAAAGGGCAGGCAGGCGGAUCCAUAAGUUUAUCGUUUAAGGCGUCGGCUUAACCGGCGUAGGGCGGUAGAUACUGUGGAUCUGGAAUGCGGUUGGGGAAGACAGAAUUCCUGGUGUAGCGGUGGAAUGCGCAGAGAUCAGGAGGAAUACCGAAGGCGAAGGCAGUCUUCCAAUCCGUUAUUGACGCUCAACUGCGAAGGUGUGGGUAUCAAACAGGAUUAGAUACCCUGGUAGUCUCU
rnacentral:rRNA from 1 species